GACGAACCGUGCGAACGUUAUUCGGAAUCACUGGGCUUAAAGCGCGUGUAGGCGGGAAGGCACGUCCGUCGCUGAAAUCCCCCGGCUCAACCGGGGAAAUGCGCGUGAUACUGGCGGGCUUGAGAUCGGGAGGGGUGAAUGGAACUCCAGGUGGAGCGGUGAAAUGCGUAGAUAUCUGGAGGAACACCGGUGGCGAAAGCGGUUCACUGGCCCGACACUGACACUGAGGUGCGAAAGCUAGGGUAGCAACGGG
rnacentral:rRNA from 1 species